ensembl:miRNA mir-34 ncRNA
CGGACAAUGCUCGAGAGGCAGUGUGGUUAGCUGGUUGCAUAUUUCCUUGACAACGGCUACCUUCACUGCCACCCCGAACAUGUCGUCCAUCUUUGAA